UCGAGACACGAAUAGCUCGAGUGAAUCUGCCGGAACUAACCGGUAAGGCUAAAUACGUCCUAUGACCGAUAGUGAACUAGUACCGUGAGGGAAAGGUGAAAAGCACCCCGAGAGGGGAGUGAAAUAGACCUGAAACCGUGUACUUACAAAGGGUCGGAGCGGUUGUCGCAAGACGACCGUGACGGCGUGCCUAUUGAAGAAUGAGCCGGCGAGUGUGUGUAUCUUGCACAGCUAAGCCCUUCCGGGGCGGAGCUUAAGGGAAACCGAGCGUGAAUAGCGCAUUAGUAGGAUACAUACGACCCGAAGCCAGAUGAGCUUGCCAUGAGCAGGGUGAAGUUGCUCGAAAGAGCGAUGGAGGCCCGAACCCGUAGGUCGUACAACGCCUUGGGAUGACUUGUGGUAAGGAGUGAAAAGCUAAUCGAAUCUGGGAAUAGCUGGUUCUCUCCGAAACAGCUUUUGGGCUGGCGUUGCGAUAUGUGUGCGUGGGGGUAGAGCACUGGAAGGGACCAACAGGGAGAAAUCUCGUGGUUCCUAUCAAACUCCGAAUACCACGCACCCGCGCAGCAGUUAGAAGGUGGGGGCGAAGCUCCAUCGAUCGAGAGGGGAAGAGCCCAGAUCGCCACUUAAGGCCCCUAAAUCGACGCUCAGUACAUCCACAAGGAAGUGAGAAUCCAUUGACAGUGAGGAUGUUGGCUUAGAAGCAGCCACCAUUCAAAGAAAGCGUAACAGCUCACUCAUCGAGGGUUCUCGCGCCGAAGAUGAUCGGGGUUAAGCGUCGUGCCGAAAUUGCGGGCUUGUCUGUUCUUUCGAGAACGGGCAAGCGGUAGGAGAGCGUUCGUAUCGCACUGAAGCUUAAGGGGUAACCCAAGGUGGAGCGUUACGAAGUGAGAAUGCCGGUACAAGUAACCACAAUGCAGGUGAGAACCCUGCACGUCGAAAGACCAAGGUUUCCUCAGCUAUGGUGAUCAACUGAGGGUUAGUCGGGCCUAAGGGGAUGGCGAGAGCCGCACCCGAUGGACACACGGUUAAUAUUCCGUGACCGCACAGAGAGGCUAGGGAGUGACGGACUGCUGUAUGUGCCGCCGGUUAUUGGAUUCCGGUCGGCAGUGCGAGGGCGCGCGUUAGGGAAAUCCGGCGCGCACUGUUAAAUCAGUUGCCCGAGUACUGACGCAAUUUUCUCCCACGGGGGAAGAGAGGGUGCAAAGCGCGGUUUCAAGAAAACCUUCUACGCAUUCAACUUUCUGUGCGACCGUACCGCAAACCGACACAGGUGGUCCGGUCGAGAAGACCAAGACGAACGAGUGAGAUGUCCUCAAGGAACUCGGCAAAAAAGCGGCCGUAAGUUAGCGAUAAGGCCUGCCCCCCGCCUUCACGGGCGGGGGGCCGCAGUGAAAGUUUCCCUGGCAACUGUUUACCAAAAACACAGCUCCCUGCAAACUCGUAAGAGGAAGUAUAGGGGGUGACACCUGACCAAUGCCGGAAGGUCAACCACGGUGGGUACUAUGACUUCGGUUGUAGUGCUGGACUGUGUAAGCCCCGGUGAAUGUCGGCGAUAACUAUAAUCGUCCUAAGGUUUCAGCCAUAACAUCUGAUUGUAAUAAAUCAAAGUGUUGUGGCUGAAAGGACUGGGACGAUUAUAGGGUAAGCAGAAUACACGCAAGUUACCUUGCUAUGGAGUAAUUCAUAGCUUGUCCAAUAGCGACUCAUAUGAGAGGCCAUACGUCGUGCUCCCGCUUCGGCGGGAAUAAGAUAUGGUCCUUCGCGUGCUUUAAGGAAUCGAAGAGCGCAAUUCCUUGUCGGGUAAAUUCCGACGUGCACGAAUGGUGUAAUGACUGGGGAACUGUCUCGAGGACUCGCUCGGUGAAAAUGCACUUCCGGUGAAGAUGCCGGAUACCUGUAGUUAGACGAAAAGACCCCAGGAGCUUUACUAUAGCUUCGUAUUGGCACUGCGGGAUUCAUGCGUAGCAUAGGUGGCAGACUUUGAAGCAUCGGUUUCGGCUGGUGUGGAGUCGCAAUAUGAAAUACCACUCUUGAAUUUUGCAGUGUCUAACCCUGUUGGGAUCCAACAGGAGACAGUGCGUGGCAGGUAGUUUUGGUGGGGCGCUAUCCUCGGGCCAAUGAAUGCAAAUUCGUUGGCCGGAGCCAUGGCGCCCCACGAGGAGUAAUAGACCUCGAAACAAAUAAAUUUAGGGGGCACGAUGAAAAUCGUGGGCAGUUGGGAAUAUGCUGGAAAAACCGGCGAAUGGUAUGCUACUUGCAACGAUUACAAGUAACAAUGUAUACCUGCGGUCAAUCAGCAGGGGAUGGAAAUUAUGGAGGGAAUACCAAAUAAAAGAGAAGAUCUAAAGAUAGUGCAUCACCAAGAGGCUGGAUUGGAUGAGGCCGGAUUAAGGCUCCAUGCCGCUUCCAUGAAAUUGGAAGGGGUGAUUAACGGACAGCUCGGUGAUCUUACUUACGCCCAAAAAAGCGCUUUGGAAGACGCACUAAAAAACAUUGAAGAAGCGAAACAAAAGAAAUAAUUUCUAGUUCCCUCAGAGACUACAAACCAACCAUCCUGAGCAAGUCGAAUGAUGAAUGUAUAGUCCGUCCUGCAUGGCGACAUGCAGUUAACAAAGAGCCUAAAAAGUAACGGAGGAGUCUAUUAAGGUUCUCUAGGCGCGAAUGGAAACCGUGCCGAUAGUGUAAUGGCAUAAGAGAGCUUAACUGCGAGGGGUACAUCCCGAGCAGAUGCGAAAGCAGAGCAUAGUGAACCGAUGGUACGCCUUAGACGCGGCCAGAGAUUAACGGAUAUAAGUUACCCUGGGGAUAACAGGCUAGUUCCGCCCAAGCGUCCAUAGCGACGGCGGAGUUCGGCACCUCGAUGUCGGCUCACCUUAGCGCGGGGGUGAAGAAGCUCCCAAGCGUUUGGCUGUUCGCCAAUUAAAAAGGUACGCGAGCUGGGUUCAAACCGUUCAGCAUUUCACCGCAAGGUCGAACCUUGCGAUGGAGGAUUGAACGGUUUGAACCCACGAGGGAAUGUUACGUGCGUGGAGACGCAUGGUGCGAAAGACAUACUCACGGCGGUCGCGCGCAGGAAUGCGCGUGAAGAAAUCAACUAAUAUCGGUAGAACCCACACUCGUUGUGUACGAGCGGGUAAUACCGAGGGAAGUAAAGUUAAAAGAACACGCUCGUGUCGAUUACGAUACGCGCGCUCGUUCGGCGAAAUUAAGAAUAUGAGAUUACUCGCAUUCUUAACUUGCCUCACUUCGCGCCCGUAGAGACUGAAUGUUGAUACUCCAGAACGGAGUAAGUUACAGUCCGAUCCCCGCAGUAAUGUGGGCAAAUCCCGUUAGAGAUAAGGACUUUUAAGUUCCGGCUUGCUUUAUCAAGCGUCUCUAACGGGACAAACUAGAUGCGUGAGACAGGUUGGUCUCCUAUCUACUACAGGCGUUGAUUCUUGAGGAGGGUUGUUCGUAGUACGAGAGGACCCGAAUGAACUGACCUCUGGUCUACCAGCUGUCGUGCCAACGGCACCGCUGGGUAGCUAUGUCGGGUUGCGAUAACCGCUGAAAGCAUAUAAGCGGGAAACGUGCUCCAAGAUUAGGAAUCGUUAUGAGGCCCCUCGGAGAUGACGAGGUUGAUAGGCUCUAGGUGGAAGCGCCGCAAGGCGUGGAGCCGUGGAGUACUAAUACGCCCAGUCUCUCGUGCGG
rnacentral:rRNA from 1 species